rnacentral:rRNA from 1 species
UGUUUCGGCAAGGGGGUCAUCCCGACUUACCAACCCGAUGCAAACUGCGAAUACCGGAGAAUGUUAUCACGGGAGACACACGGCGGGUGCUAACGUCCGUCGUGAAGAGGGAAACAACCCAGACCGCCAGCUAAGGUCCCAAAGUCAUGGUUAAGUGGGAAACGAUGUGGGAAGGCCCAGACAGCCAGGAUGUUGGCUUAGAAGCAGCCAUCAUUUAAAGAAAGCGUAAUAGCUCACUGGUCGAGUCGGCCUGCGCGGAAGAUGUAACGGGGCUAAACCAUGCACCGAAGCUGCGGCAGCGACGCUUAUGCGUUGUUGGGUAGGGGAGCGUUCUGUAAGCCUGUGAAGGUGUACUGUGAGGUAUGCUGGAGGUAUCAGAAGUGCGAAUGCUGACAUAAGUAACGAUAAAGCGGGUGAAAAGCCCGCUCGCCGGAAGACCAAGGGUUCCUGUCCAACGUUAAUCGGGGCAGGGUGAGUCGACCCCUAAGGCGAGGCCGAAAGGCGUAGUCGAUGGGAAACAGGUUAAUAUUCCUGUACUUGGUGUUACUGCGAAGGGGGGACGGAGAAGGCUAUGUUGGCCGGGCGACGGUUGUCCCGGUUUAAGCGUGUAGGCUGGUUUUCCAGGCAAAUCCGGAAAAUCAAGGCUGAGGCGUGAUGACGAGGCACUACGGUGCUGAAGCAACAAAUGCCCUGCUUCCAGGAAAAGCCUCUAAGCAUCAGGUAACAUCAAAUCGUACCCCAAACCGACACAGGUGGUCAGGUAGAGAAUACCAAGGCGCUUGAGAGAACUCGGGUGAAGGAACUAGGCAAAAUGGUGCCGUAACUUCGGGAGAAGGCACGCUGAUAUGUAGGUGAAGUCCCUCGCGGAUGGAGCUGAAAUCAGUCGAAGAUACCAGCUGGCUGCAACUGUUUAUUAAAAACACAGCACUGUGCAAACACGAAAGUGGACGUAUACGGUGUGACGCCUGCCCGGUGCCGGAAGGUUAAUUGAUGGGGUUAGCGCAAGCGAAGCUCUUGAUCGAAGCCCCGGUAAACGGCGGCCGUAACUAUAACGGUCCUAAGGUAGCGAAAUUCCUUGUCGGGUAAGUUCCGACCUGCACGAAUGGCGUAAUGAUGGCCAGGCUGUCUCCACCCGAGACUCAGUGAAAUUGAACUCGCUGUGAAGAUGCAGUGUACCCGCGGCAAGACGGAAAGACCCCGUGAACCUUUACUAUAGCUUGACACUGAACAUUGAGCCUUGAUGUGUAGGAUAGGUGGGAGGCUUUGAAGUGUGGACGCCAGUCUGCAUGGAGCCGACCUUGAAAUACCACCCUU